AAUUAAUUUUAGAUCUCAGUGCUUGACUAUUCAGCCGCCUGGGAAGGGAGACUGGGCAUGUGCUUCAAAGCAGAUCUUGCAAUUCCACUGGAGAAUCUUCUAGGUUUACAGGUCAGGUCAUGUUUUAUCGGAAAAUGUCCGCACUCCAUUCCCCACUAGCAGUGUAGCAGUGACCAAGUAGAGCAGCCUCAACGAGGAUUUAGGUUAAUCGGAGAAAGUGAUUGGUCUGGUUUGAAUGGCUUCCAAUUUUGGCCACAACACCUACAAGGAGACCCACGGGGAAUGUCUAUCCAAUUCCAGGUUUGGUCGUUAUUUCCUUAUUGUUG